rnacentral:rRNA from 1 species
GACAGAGGUCCCGAGCGUUAGGCGGAAUCAUGUCGUGGGCUUAAAGCGUGUGUAGGCGGAUCGAUUAACGGUGCCUUGUCGAAAUCCCACGGCUCAACCGUGGAACUGGCUCGGCAUACUGGCGAUCUUGAGCCACCUAGGGGCAACCGGAACAAAUGGUGGAGCGGUGAAAUGCGUACGAUAUCAUUGGAACGCCAAUGGUGAAAACAGGUUGCUGGGGGUGUGCUGACGCUGAGACACGAAAGCCAGGGAGCGAACGGG